CUCUGCUGGAUCCAAGGUUCUCCCUCUGUCACCCAGAGCUGGAGUGCGGUGGCAUAAUCACAGCUAAUUGCAGCCUCAACAUUCCAGGCCCAAGGAUCCUCCCUUCAGCCUUCCAGGUAGCUGGGACCACAGAGUCGGGGGUCUCCCUAUGUUUCCCAGGCUGGCCUCGAACUCCUGACCUCAAGUGAUCCUCCCACCUCAGCCUCCCCGAGUGCUGGGAUUAAAGACGUGAGCCACGGCACCUGGCCUGAAUUUUCCUCAAAUUCAAAAAAUCCUGAUGAAGGUUUGGCUAAAAUCUUUGGUGAGUUACCCCACUCCCUGUGGAACCUCAGGCUGGAUUUGAAGAGUUGCGUGCAUGGUCCUCAUUGUCUCCCAGAUGAAAUUGUGCUCCAAGUGUUUUCCAAGGUUCCGUAUGACCCAUCAUUUGAUGAAACAAGAACAGCAGUCAGAUCCAUUACAAAGAGAGACACACAAAAAAGCUAUUCCCAACAGAAGAGCUUGAACAAUGCUGCAUUUGCAUCAGGUUCAAAUGAGCGAGAGGAACAUUUGGCUAAAAUAUUUGGAACCAGCAUUGCUUGGAAUUCUCCUAAACCAGAAUAUUUCCUUGGCAGUGUGGACAAAAUUCCUGAUAAAGAGAUGGGGUUUCACUGUGUUAGCCAGGAUGGUCUCGAUCUCCUGACCUCAUGAUCCGCCCGCCUCGGCCUCCCAAAGUGCUGGGAUUACAGGCGUGAACCACCAUGCCCGGCCCAGAAUGUCCUUUCUUUUCGAAGCGGAGUAAUAUUCCAUUAUCACCUUUCAGAGGAGAAGAAU
rnacentral:sRNA from 1 species